rnacentral:rRNA from 1 species
GAUGAACGCUGGCGGCGUGCCUAAUACAUGCAAGUCGAGCGAACAGACGAGGAGCUUGCUCCUCUGACGUUAGCGGCGGACGGGUGAGUAACACGUGGAUAACCUACCUAUAAGACUGGGAUAACUUCGGGAAACCGGAGCUAAUACCGGAUAAUAUAUUGAACCGCAUGGUUCAAUAGUGAAAGACGGUUUUGCUGUCACUUAUAGAUGGAUCCGCGCCGCAUUAGCUAGUUGGUAAGGUAACGGCUUACCAAGGCAACGAUGCGUAGCCGACCUGAGAGGGUGUUCGGCCACACUGGAACUGAGACACGGUCCAGACUCCUGCGGGAGGCAGCAGUCGGGAAUCUUCCGCAAUGGGCGAAAGCCUGACGGAGCAACGCCGCGUGAGUGAUGAAGGUCUUCGGAUCGUAAGACUCUGUUAUUAGGGAAGAACAAAUGUGUAAGUAACUAUGCACGUCUUGACGGUACCUAAUCAGAGAGCCACGGCUAACUACGUG